rnacentral:rRNA from 1 species
ACCUAAAAUCUAGCCCUCAACCCCCUAUGCGCCCUCCUUCUCACCCCUUCUAAACAAAACAUUCUAACAAUCCAGUAAAGGCGAUAGAAAAAUUUAUUUGAGCUAUACUGCAAGUACCGUAAGGGAAAGAUGAAAUAAAAAUGAAAUAAACAAUCAAGCACAGAAAAGUAGAGCUUCAGCCUCGUACCUUUUGUAUUAUGGUUUAACUAGUCCUUAUCAAGCAAAACGAAUUUAAGUCUGACCCCCCGAAACUAGGCGAGCUACUUCAAGGCAGCCUGAUGGGCCAACCCGUCUCUGUUGCAAAAGAGUGGGAAGACCUUCGAGUAGAGGUGACAAACCAACCGAGCCUAGAAAUAGCUGGUUACCCAGUAAAAGAAUUUUAGUUCUUCCUAAAGUUAAAUUAUGCCUAAAAACAAACCCUUUUACUUUAGAAGCAUUCAAACAAGGUACAGCUUGUUUGAAACAGGAUACAACCUAGAAUAACGGGUUAUUAAAUAGCAAAGUAUCAAAGUGGGCCCAAAAGCAGCCACCUUUAAAAUAGCGUCAAAGCUUAACUACCCUAUUGCCCCUAAUCACUUCAAUUAGUAUAAACCCUUAAUUAACACCGGGUGCUUCUAUAUCCUUAUAGAAAUCAUUAUGUUAAAACUAGUAACAAGAAGAAACCCUUCUCUUUUAAAUGUGAGAGUAAGCCAGAAAGGAUAAACCACUGUCAAUUAACACGUAUGACUUAAAAUUAGCAACAUCACAAGAAAACCCUACUGAUAUAAGUGUUAAUCUAACACAAGAACAUUUUAAGAAAGAUUUUUAAAAAAGGAAGGAACUCAGCAAACGUCAGCCUCGCCUGUUUACCAAAAACAUCGCCUCUUGAAUUUGUAUAAGAGGUCCAGCCUGCCCAGUGACCUAGUUUAACGGCCGCGGUAUCCUAACCGUGCGAAGGUAGCGUAAUCACUUGUUCUUUAAAUGAGGACUAGUAUGAACGGCAUCACGAAGGCUGUACUGUCUCCCCUUUUUAAUCAGUGAAACUAAUCUUCCCGUGAAGAAGCGGGAAUGCUAUAAUAAGACGAGAAGACCCUAUGGAGCUUUAAACUAUUUAACACUUGCUGCCACCCAACUACUUUCAGUAGUCUCACAAAAAACACAGCAUUAUGAUUACAAGUUUUCGAUUGGGGUGAUCACGGAGUAAAAAUCAGCCUCCACGCCAAAUGGGCCCAACCCCCUGAACUAUAAGCCACAACUUUAAGUACUAAAAAAUUAUUGUUUCUUGACCCAAUGACUUGAUCAACGAACCAAGUUACCCUAGGGAUAACAGCGCAAUCCACUUCAAGAGCCCCUAUCGACAAGUGGGUUUACGACCUCGAUGUUGGAUCAGGGUGUCCAAGUGGUGCAGCCGCUACUAAAGGUUCGUUUGUUCAACGAUUAAAACCCU